rnacentral:rRNA from 1 species
UACGUAGGGGGCAAGCGUUGUCCGGAAUCAUUGGGCGUAAAGAGCGUGUAGGCGGCCCGGUAAGUCCGCUGUGAAAGUCCAGGGCUCAACCCUGGGAUGCCGGUGGAUACUGUCGGGCUCGAGUCCGGAAGAGGAGUGUGGAAUUCCUGGUGUAGCGGUGAAAUGCGCAGAUAUCGGGAGGAACACCAGUAGCGAAGGCGGCUCGCUGGGCCAUUCCUGACGCUGAGACGCGAAAGCUAGGGGAGCGAACAGG